rnacentral:rRNA from 1 species
AUUGAACGCUGGCGGCAUGCCUUACACAUGCAAGUCGAACGGCAGCACGGGUGCUUGCACCUGGUGGCGAGUGGCGAACGGGUGAGUAAUAUAUCGGAACGUACCUUAUUGUGGGGGAUAACGCAGCGAAAGCUGUGCUAAUACCGCAUAAUCCCUACGGGGGAAAGCGGGGGACCGUAAGGCCUCGCGCAAUUAGAGCGGCCGAUACCUGAUUAGCUAGUUGGUGAGGUGAAGGCUAACCAAGGCAACGAUCAGUAGCUGGUCUGAGAGGACGAUCAGCCACACUGGGACUGAGACACGGCCCAGACUCCUACGGGAGGCAGCAGUGGGGAAUUUUGGACAAUGGGGGCAACCCUGAUCCAGCAAUGCCGCGUGAGUGAAGAAGGCCUUCGGGUUGUAAAGCUCUUUUGUCAGGGAAGAAACAGCAGCUCUAACACAGUUUGCGAAUGACGGUACCUGAAGAAUAAGCACCGGCUAACUACGUGCCAGCAGCCGCAGUAA